GACGAACGCUGGCGGCGUGCCUAACACAUGCAAGUCGAAGCGGAAUGAAGUUCCUUUCGGGAACGGAUUUUAGCGGCGGACGGGUGAGUAACACGUGGGCAACCUGCCUCAUAGAGGGGAAUAGCCUUCCGAAAGGGAGAUUAAUACCGCAUAAGAUUGUAGUACCGCAUGGUACAGCAAUUAAAGGAGCAAUCCGCUAUGAGAUGGGCCCGCGGCGCAUUAGCUAGUUGGUGAGGUAACGGCUCACCAAGGCGACGAUGCGUAGCCGACCUGAGAGGGUGAUCGGCCACAUUGGGACUGAGACACGGCCCAGACUCCUACGGGAGGCAGCAGUAGGGAAUUUUCGGCAAUGGGGGCAACCCUGACCGAGCAACGCCGCGUGAGUGAAGAAGGUUUUCGGAUCGUAAAGCUCUGUUGUAAGAGAAGAACGUGUGUGAGAGUGGAAAGUU
rnacentral:rRNA from 1 species